GCUCUCCAUCGAGGCAGCGCCGCAGCGACAUAAAAUGGCCCCAAAUCGGCCCAAAGAGGAGCAUUGCUAAAAAAUGACUAAAAAUUAGAAACAAACAAACAAAAAAAACCCCAAAACGAGCACAAAACCCCUUAAAAAAGAGGCAGGAAAAAUCCAAGUGAGCGGAGUAAGUACCCGCGGCGCGGUCACGCCGGCCCCAAACCCCGCUUCCUUAGCUCGGUGUGCGCCGGGGAUGUGAACCUGACCCCAAAUGCUGCUUUCUGGGUCCUUUUUCUUUGUUGUUUUUUUUGCACCGGCCCCAAAAAGCCGCUUUCUGAGCCCAUUCUGUGCUGGGGCAGCUCCCAAAACAACGCACCCAAAAUGAUGUUUUCUGCGCCCGUUUCGUUGCACGCUGACCCCAAAACGUCCAUUUCUGAGCCCGCUUCACGCUGGCGCCGCAUGGCUGACCCCAAAUCCCCCUUUCUGAGCCCAUUUUGGACGCGUGGCUGACCCAAAAUCCCCCUUUCUGAGCCCAUUUUG
rnacentral:misc_RNA from 1 species